AGAAGAAAAAAAAACAUGUUCUUGAUAUUAUCAAGAGCUUUGGAAACUGCAUACGUUCCAUGCGCUUAUGAGACAUUUGUUGCGCAGUGUGUCCUCCCUGUAUAGUGUAUAUUGCCGCCAAUUUCUCGGCAUUUCCAGCGGUUCAAACGUUUCUUCUGAGUUUCCGUUAUUUGAAAAAGGUGUUUAAUCGCCCGAUCAAUGUAGUGGAAGGGGUGAGUCGGCCAGUGAUGUCGAGAUGAGUGCGAUGCCUACGUGCAUCAACGUUUAGUGGACCUAAAGGACAUCGUCAGCACCGAGAUUUGCCAGCUGGAAACGCAGUGGGGCUACACGCAAUGGAGGCACGCGUACCAC